rnacentral:rRNA from 1 species
UACAGAGGUGGCAAACGUUGUCCGGAUUUAUUGGGUGUAAAGGGUAUGUAGGUGGUUUUGUAAGUCAAAGGUGAAAUGGCCCGGCUCAACCAGGUCAUUGCCUUUGAAACUGCAAGACUCGAGUUCGGAAGAGGAAAGCGGAAUUCCCAGUGUAGCGGUGAAAUUCGUAGAUAUCGGGAGGAACACCAGUGGCGAAGGCGGCGACCUGGGCCAAUAUUGACGCUGAGGUGCGAAAGCGUGGGGAGCAAACAGG